rnacentral:rRNA from 1 species
UACGUAGGGUGCGAGCGUUGUCCGGAAUUAUUGGGCGUAAAGGGCGCGUAGGCGGCUUGAUAAGUCAAAGGUGAAAUCCCUCGGCUCAACUGAGGAAUUGCCUUUGAAACUGUCUGGCUUGAAUCCGGGAGAGGGAUGCGGAAUUCCAGGUGUAGCGGUGAAAUGCGUAGAUAUCUGGAGGAACACCGGUGGCGAAGGCGGCAUCCUGGACCGGUAUUGACGCUGAUGCGCGAAAGCCAGGGGAGCAAACGGG